CGCGUCUUUCUUCGGGGCGGAGCUCGACCGCCAACACCGGAAAUAGUUGCCUUCAUCGACGCGAACAAGAACGACGUCGUCGAAGGCCGCCCGCUCGGAGUCGAGCCCAUCUGCAAGGUGUUGCAGGUAGCUCCG
rfam:Agrococcus casei LMG 22410 genome assembly, contig: Scaffold44